rnacentral:rRNA from 1 species
GUCGCAUGGCUCUACGAAACCCGAAGGCGCAAUGAAAGUGAAGGCCUUCCCCGCGGUUGGCCUAGGUAGGAUCCCGAGUCGAGAAACCGACGAGGGCGCCCUACCGGCCCGUCUCUCCCGCAACGUCGGAGAGGCGGAGCGAGAGCGUACACGUUGGGACCCGAAAGAUGGUGAACUAUGCCUGAGUAAGACGAACCCAGAAGAAACUCUGGUGGAGGUCCGCAGCGAUUCUGACGUGCAAAUCGAUCGUCAAACUUGGGUAUAGGGGCGAAAGACCAAUCGAAA